rnacentral:rRNA from 1 species
AAUCUUCCACAAUGGACGAAAGUCUGAUGGAGCAACGCCGCGUGAGCGAAGAAGGUUUCCGGAUCGUAAAGCUCUGUUGCGAGGGAAGAACAAGUACGGGAGUAACUGCCCGUACCUUGACGGUACCUCGUCAGAAAUCCACGCCUAACUACGUGCCACCAGCCGCGGCAAUACGUAGGGGGCAAUCUUUGUCCGGGAUGUUUGGGCGUAAAGCGCGCGCAGGGGGUCCUUUAAGUCUGAUGUGAAAGCCCACGGCUCAACCGUGGAGGGUCAUUGGAAACUGGAGGACGUGAGUACAGGAGAGGAAAGCGGAAUUCCACGUGUAGCGGGGAAAUGCGUAGAGAUGUGGAGGAACACCAGUGGCGAAGGCGGCUUUCUGGUCUGUAACUGACGCUGAGGCGCGAAAGCGUGGGGAGCAAACA